CGGGGAGUGGCGCAGAUGGCAGCGCGCCUGCUUUGGGGGCAGGAAGUCGGGGGUUCAAGUCCCCCCUCCCCGACCA
rnacentral:tRNA from 1 species